AGAGAAUGAAAAGCCAUCUUUCUACAGCUUGAAACCAAAAUUUAAGUGAAUGGCCCUGUAACUAAGGUUAUUGAACAUGAUUAACUAUCCGCAAUAUGACAACUAUCUGCAACCCUCAACCUUGUAACCUGAAUCAAGUUGGUUUCACACAUACCAAUAGAAAACCAAAAUAUCAAUGUUUGGGGAAGUUACCUUAUUUGAAAUACCACUAAAAAACAGAGUACACUUUUAGGCAAAUAUUGUUUAAACACCCAAACAUAAUUCAUGAUAUGUGCCAAAAAGAAAAUACCUCUCGAUUAGAUUUCUUUUGUUCACGAACUUUCUCCCUGACAAACUCUUGAGAUAGAACCAAAAAAGAAAAUAAGUCACAACUAAUGCAAGGAGAGGGGCAUGAGGCAGAGAAAAGUAGGAAUUUAUGAGUACACCACUCUUGUUUUAGGUUCCCAACUUAUAAGGAUGCUAACUUCAUCACAUAGGACUACCGUUAAACUCAUUUCUUUCCAAAAUUAAAUUAAGAAAAAAGUUCGACACUCACAUGCCACAACACAAUGUUACAUAAAGUAAUCUUACCAUCACAACCAAAUUGACACAAAACUUCUAACAGUCCUUUUGAAAGUGAAAAUCAAGCGAUUAAUCAAAUACUCAUUUUCCGAAAAAGAAAAAACCCAACAAAAAUAUAUAAAAAGUAAAAGUACCUAAGUUCCCAAUAGUUCAAUCCAUCAGAAAAAUACAAACUUGGACAUGUUUGAGUAUAAGGACCAUAAGAAAGAAGCAGGGGAUGCAAAGUUUUGAGAAUGGGUCUAAUAAUACUCAUCAAGUACAGAUAAUCAAAGUUAAAAGGAGGUAAUAAAGGUAUAGACAAAAGAAGAAUAUAUUCUACAAAUGAAUGAAACAAAAGAUGGUGACACUGGAAUGGAAACACUUCAGGAGGCCAGAGGAAGAGGGACAAUACUAUAGCAAAUAAAUUGAUAAUGCUUGUGCUCUCCUCUGUUCUUUCCCAAGUUGAUCCUACAAACAAAAGCACAGACAAAACUUAAAAAAUGAUGCCAAUCAAUGAAAGCUAAAUUAUCCCCAUCUUGAAUCUUUUAUAAAACAAAGCACCAAGAAAAUUUCAACAAAAAAUAUUUCAUACGAUAAACAAAACGAUGAAAUAAAUUUCAAAAUAGGCUUGUUUCAGACAUUAACAUCUUACUUUGAAAUUUCUCCCAUAGUUCGUUGACAGUCAUUGUAGAGUAAACAUCAGGUGGACAACUCUUUGACUACGUCAUUAGACAACUACAAAAGCUUACUUUCCAUAAGCUUGUAACUUACAAAUUCCAAACUACAUGUAUCAUUUGUGUGUCCUCAACUUUCAUUCUGUAAUCACAUUUACGAUUGAAACAUUAACCAAAUCCCAAAAAACAAAAAUGUGACGCUCUCUCUCUCUGUGGCUUUCUUAUAACACAAAAAUAUCCCUAAUUAGAGCAUGCCACACAUCAACACAUUGCUAUUAUAGAAGUAUUUUUCUUAGUGGCAAGUAUUAUACUCUCAUUUGGCCAAGAGGAUAUGAAAUUGGUUGAGUAUACUGCUCUAGCCAUUUGGAUCAAUAAGCUCUAGUUUGUAUAGUACAAAACCAUAAGUACUCAGACGUAUGAAAUCCAAUCUUUCACUUUACAAAUAACAUAUGGGUAAAUUAGCUCUGAAGAAACGGAAAGAAAUAGAAAGCUUUAGAACACAAAUAUACUUGAGGUGCUGAAAUAUGAGAUGAGGAAAUGUUUUCUUCUUAUUUUGAUAACAUUAAUGAUGAUAUUCAAAGAAUUAAAAAAAAAGUAUGAUUUUCUCUUCUUCUAUUCCUCCCUCGCUUUCUCUCACACUUUUUAUUUGUCUUUCUCUCUCUAAAAGUUAAUAUAAGAUAUUAAUGUGACUUAAUCGUAACCGUUCAAAAUCACAAAUACUCCAGAUGAAUUGAAAAACUGCAGAGAUUAGUUUCAUGAAUACAUAAUGAAGCAGAAAGCCAUAGUUAAUCUAAAAAAGGGUUUAGUUAAUCUAAAAAGAGGCAUACACGUACUACCAAUCCUCUGAAUGUUCUCUGCACGAUGUUCUGCUUUAAAACUAAGGUCGCGAUUCAAGCCAUGCCUGACAAUGUCCCCAUCAAGAAUGUACAACAUAUUCUCCUGCGGUACAAAUUCCCACUCAAAGCACACGCCACCGUGCUCUUCCCUGAACAAACAAAAUAAAUUAUACGCAAGUAAUGAGCAACUUUCUUUCGGCACAUUGUCUAAGUUCAUACUUAACCUUUAGCAUCGUUCAAUCAUAUACUACCAGUAUGUUGACCCAGGUAUGAUUCUAAUUUACAUAUGUUCUUUUAAAAAAGUUUAUACACAUAAAUUUCAAUAUGUCUGCUUACAAUUUUUAAAGGGAUUAGUGGGGAUAAGAUUAGGGAUAUGCUUUAGACAUCAACCCCUUCUUAAUCCUUCAAUUGCAAUCUAGUCCUUCAUAUUAAGCAUGGCCUAAAUGCUUAACAAUCAGGGAUAACUUGUAUGGAAAUGAACUGACAAUGAAGGUGGGUUUUUGUCUUUUGGGUGAUCUCAUGAUGCAAACAUAUAAUGGAGGAUAGGUAGCUAAAGCUAUUUAUGUUUCGUUCACUUUUUAGUAUCUAUUUGUACAGUGCAAAGUUCUUACCUCAAAGUUUGCCUUAUAUGUGACAGCUUUCUCCAUGUAUGCACCAUUGAAAGUUGAACCACUGAAAUCAGAUUCCCUCAUAUCCGCUCAUGUUAAAUUGGCUAGCUCUUCUGCAUCUGUCAGUUUACAUUGAUGUGAAAAUGCAGAUACUAAUGACAAAAUUAGUCUUGUUCUUUUCAAACCAAAUACAUAGCUUUAGCAGGUCGUUCAUUAUGGAGGGUAGCAGACAAAUGCAACAAAGAAAAACAACAAUUUGCGGAAAGAAAGAUAUUAACAAAACAAAAAAAUUUAAGAAAAUAAAAAAUUGGUUUUUUUUUCUCAUGUGAGGGACCAUACCAUAUUUGAUUCAACCAAGGGUUUUUCUCUGAGCUAAAAGUUCGGACUUCCACUUUUCAACUGAGGAUGAAAUAACAGAGAAAACGCACAAAAUAAAAGGCCUAAUUCCAAAUUAUUUAAAGGAAAAUAAAAAAAAUUAAUUUGAAUCAAACUGAAGAAAAAAGUUCAAAUUAAGAAAAUCCUAGUAAGUGGAAAAGGAUAUGGUGAGUGACUAUUUGCCUUGAAAACUCACAUAGUUUGGAAUGGAUCAUCAAUAAUCUCUGGAGUCAUCAAGUGGCAGCAUCAGCUUCACAUCCAACAACAGGAAGUAACUUUGUAUUCUUGUAUAAAAGAGUGUGCUCAUAUGGGUUAGCAAGAGUGGGGCAUUGAGUCUGCCAAUCGAAAACCUUAACCUCCCACUCCCUGUAAGCAGUAGGUACAACAUUCUCGGGAAGUUCUAUUGGGCACCCUUCCCUUGUGAAGUCUGCUCCAUGGCCAUCCCAUUCACCGGACACAUUCCUGGCAAAUUUGGACCAAACACAUAAAAGAGAAAUUGAAUUACAGCAGCACGUGAAAUAUAUUAAUUUAUAGAUUCUAGACUUCUAAUAGUUAACAUAACAAAUACAAAUUCAACCAUCAUCUCUCUUAUCCAUUGCCUUUUCUACUAUAAAUGAAACCGGAUAUUAAAUAACCCAUCGUUUUAGAUUGGCAGAUUGCAAUUUCUUUGGAAAUUAGUCAUAAAAGUUAAUACAUUUCAUCACUCCAUUUCUGACUUACCUCUUAUCAACUGUUGUGCACCCUAAUCCAAAGAAUAGAAUUUUACCCGCCAAAUAUCAAACUGGAUAUCUAACAACUGGAAAUUUUCCAUUGGAUAUCUAAUAAAUUUCAAUUAUUCGAUUUCUAUACAACCCCAAAUCCAAAUACCGUAUGUUGCUCCAAAUAUCAACGAAAAGAUGCAAACUUUUUUACGCUACAACAACAACCAUACGAUUUUAAUAAAACCCACAAAAACCAAGUAAAUAAGCAGAUUUUUGGCAAAAGAUCUUAAAAUACACUCAUCAGAAGCAAAAGUGGAAAUGGGAUUGAAGCCAUUGCUGCGGUCCUCCUCCUGGAGCUGCAGCUUAACAUCUGACACAGCGGUGUUGGCGGAGGAAGAGGCAGCGCUCUGGACAAUCUGACCUCUCUGGCGGCAGUGGUGAGGCAGUUGGAAUCUAUAGGCCUCGGUUGAUCCGUUGUUGUUUUUUUUCAUUGGAACUCCCAUUUGGUCUCACUGUUGUUAUUUCCGUUUUUGUUCUUCGUUGUCAAUCAGGAUCUGCACGCCUGAAAACCCACAAAGUGUUAUAGCUGUGAUUAUCUUAAUCACAAGCUUAGUUUUUAAAUAAGUAUUUUGGAUUAGUCAUGCCAGCUGGCUUGUAGUGUUUGGGAAAAAAUAUAUGUAACCAAUUGUGGUAGUAUUGAACACACAGAUAUAUUCAUAAGAAAAUAUUAAAAAAUAUUAAAAAAUAUUCGACAUUGGACAGAGGUUCAGGGCCGAAGGGGUAGAGGAAAACCUAGGAAAACUUUGGAAGAGACUCUAAGAAAAGACUUAGAGUACUUGGAUCUAACGGAGGACAUGACACAAAACCGAGCGCAAUGGCGUUCUAGGAUUCAUAUAGCCGAUCCCACUUAGUGGGAAAAGGCUUUGUUGUUGUUGUUGUUGUUGUUGUAUAUCUCUUCUCUCUCUAUCUCCUUCUUCCUUUUAUCCCUCCAUUACUGCUGCAACUCGUAGGUUGAGUUGAGUGAUUUGUGAGUAGCUGCAUAUCAAUUGGUAUCAGCCUUCUCGAUCCUUGAUUCCCUCUUGUAUGCCCCGUCACGCUCCAACGACUAGAUUAGCUGCCAUAGACGCUCGUCUCUCUGUCGUUGAGGAAUAAUAGGCGGAUCUUCCCAAUUUCAUUCUUUCCUCCAUCGCCACCGCGAACGCUAACCUCAAGGCUUUUCUCUCUGCCGAUUUCGAGGCUAAAUUAGCCUUCUCAUUCGAGCAAUUUCACUGUGAGCAGUCCUUUCAGGGAGGGGCUGGAUCUUCCAAUCGUGGCAGAUUCUGAUUUGGAGACUUCGCGUCCGGCUCGGCGUGAUCAAUUCGACACUGGCGGGGGACAACAGCGACUACCAUGGCAUCAACAAUUUUCCACGUUUCUCAGAGGGUGACGACUCUCUCAAUUGGAUCUAUAAGGCGGAACAGUAUUUUGUUUGUUACAAUACUCCAGAUCCUCAGAAAGUCCUUACAGCCUCUUUUUACCUUGACAAUGAAGCAAUGCAGUGGUUCAAAUGGCGCGAUUGCCUUCAUACUACUCCUACAUGGGAGGAAUUUACUGGUGAACUUUGCAAGGAGUUUGGGCCUUCCGAAUUCGAGGAUUAUACAGAGGCUCUUUUCAAAUUGCGCUAAACAGGUACUCUCAAGGACUUUAUCACUAAAUUUCGUAGACUUGCUAAUCGUGCUAGAGAUGUUGGCCCUGUGCUUCUUAAGAGUUGUUUCCUUGGUGGAUUAAAACGUGAAUUGAUCUAUGAUGUCAAGUUGUUACGACCUGCUACUGUCCACGAUGCCAUAUCCAUUGCUGUUCAGGUCGAUUCUAAGCUAUCUUAAUUACGUGAGCUCAAUCCUCGAACCCUUCCGUCCGCAUAAAUUACUCCACUCCCCAUACUGCCUCCCAAGCUUAAAACCCCUAUGCUCCCAUAUCGAAAACUUACCCCCGAGGAGGUUCAACGCAAGAAGGAUAAAUGGGAAUGUUGGUUUUGUCCUGAAAAGUGGGGGAAUGGGCACAAGUGUGGCCACAAACAGCUACUUUUGUUGGAUGUGAGUGAUGAGGGUGAUUUAUGUGAAGAUUUGGAUGAGGAGGUACCGGCUGAAAUCCAGGGCAUGGCACUGAGUGAAUGUGCAUUUUUUGGGGUGCAAGGAACAGAGUCUUUACAAACUAUGAAGGUUUUGGGCACUGCCAAUAACCACUCAGUGCUCAUACUUUUGGAUUCUGGUAGUACGCACAAUUUCAUUGACUCUAGGCUUCUUAAGACAUUGGGGUGGUCUUUGCAAGCAACCAAGCCUUUUGAGGUAAUGAUUGCCGAUGGUGGGAAAAUUACGAGCCAAGGGUGUUGUAGGCACAUACCAUUGGAGGUGGGUGGAUAUAAUUGUCACACUGACUUAUUUUCGCUUCCAUUGGGGGGUUGUGACUUGGUCUUAGGGGUGCAAUGGUUGUCUAUUGUGAGUCCUGGGCUUUGGGAUUUCCAGUUACUUACAAUGGAGUUCCAAGUGGGCAAAAAGAAGUUUAAAUUGACUCACAGUUCACCACCAUAGCUGACAGUUCACGAAAUGGCCCUGCAGCAAGGUGAUAAGGAGCUCUCUCAGUCUAAUGUUGGAGUUCUAUUGUAUUCUCUGGAGUCUAAUGAAAAAGGUGAAUGAUACUUUUAGUUCUCAACAAGUAGAUGAGCUACAGGCAGUUUUGCAACCAUUUGAUACAUUGUUCCAAGUUCCCUCUCAACUACCCCCAUAUCGACCACAAGAUCACAAAAUCCCACUCAUUCCGGGGUUAAAACCCCCAAGUAUUAGGCCUUAUCAUUACGAAUCUGCACAGAAGGAUGAAAUUGAGAAGGCAGUGUAGGAGCUUUUUAAGUCAGGAUUCAUAUGUCCUAGCCAUAACCCAUUUUCCUUUCCGGUGAUGUUGGUAAAGAAAAAGGAAGGAACAUGGAGAUUAUGUGUGGAUUAUCGAGAGUUGAAUAGCAUCACAGUUAAGGAUAAGUACCCCAUUCCAUUGAUUGAUGAUCUACCUGAUGAAUUAUAUGGGGCAAAGUACUUCUCUAAGCUUGAUCUUAGAUCCGGGUACCAUCAAAUUAGAAUGCAAGAAAGUGACAUUGCAAAAACAGCUUUUAGAACUCAUGAUGGACACUAUGAGUUUCUGGUAAUGCCAUUUGGCUUUACUAAUGCCCCUGCAACAUUUCAAAACCUCAUGAAUGACUUAUUCAACCCCUAUUUGAGGAAGUUUAUCCUUGUGUUCUUUGAUGACAUUUUAAUCUACAGUGCUAGUUGGAAGGAGCACUUAGUACAUCUACAACAAACACUGGAGUUGUUACUCAAGCAUCAACUGUUUCUCAAAAAACAGAAGUGUUUAUUUGGAAAGCAGCAAGUGGAGUAUUUGGGUCACAUAGUGUCCACUGAAAGGGUUUCUGCAGGUCCUACCAAAAUUAAAGUUAUUGUCGAUUGGCCUGCCCCUAAGAAUGUGAAGGAAUUGAGAGGAUUUCUGGGUUUGACUGGUUAUUACAGGAAAUUUGUUCCUGGUUAUGGCAAAAUCUGCCAACCAUUGUACAAACUUACAGGUAAUGGCCGAUUUCUUUGGACACAAGACACAGAGGAAGCCUUCUAACAACUAAAAAAGGCCAUGACUUCACCCAAACUCCUAGCUCUGCCAAACUUUGCUGAGCCAUUCAUUGUAGAGUGUGAUGCUUCUGGUUUAGGCAUUGGAGCUGUUUUGCAGCAAAAGGGUCGACCUAUAGCUUUUGCAAGUCAGACACUUGGUCCUAGAAAUCAGGCCUUGUCCACAUAUGAAAGGGAACUCAUUGCAAUUGUGUAUGCAGUUAAAAAAUGGCAGAGUUAUCUCCAAGGGCGUCAUUUCAUCAUUAAAACUGACCACAACAGUUUGAAAUAUUUCUUGAGUCAAAGGGCAAAUACCCCGUUUCAACAAAAAUGGGUUUCUAAGCUGUUGGGGUUUGAUUAUGAAGUACAGUAUAGACAUGGCAAGGAAAAUAUUGUGGUAGAUGCUCUCUUCAGAGCCCCAGGUUCAAACUCCCUUCCUGAGCUACCCUUGGAAGAAGAUAAGGAAGUGUUAGCUAUCACCUAUCCCUACUUUGGGUGGUUAGAUGAGUUAAGAAAAGAUUUAGAACUGGAUCCUUGGGUUAAGCUAAAAAGACAAGAAGUUGAAAAACAAGCUUAAGGCACUGGACAAGGUGUAGUUCCCUCUAAGUAUCACAUUGACAAUGGGUUUUUGAAGUACAAAAGGAGAAUUGUUUUAGGUGUGGAUUCAGUUUGGAGGAGAAGGGUAUUUGAGGAACAUCAUUCCACUCCCAUGGCAGGUCAUGAAGGUGUGCUGAAAACUUAUCAGAGGCUGAAAAAAAGGUUUUUAUUGGGUUGGGAUGAAGAAUGAUCUCAAAGCUUGGAUAUCCGAGUGCAGAAUUUGUCAACAGAACAAAUAUGAAACUAUCUCACCACCUGGGUUAUUACAACCCCUUCCAAUACCACAGCAAGCAUGGACAGAUAUAAGCAUGGAUUUCAUUUGUGGCAUUCCCUCUUGCAAAGGGAAAUCUGUAAUUUUGGUGGUAGUGGAUAGGCUAUCAAAGUAUGCACACUUUAUAGCUUUGGGACAUCCUUACACUGCUAGCAUGGUAGCCCAAGAAUUUGUGGAAAAUAUCUUUAAGCUACAUGGCAUGCCUCAGACCGUUGUUAGUGACAGGGACACUAUUUUUCUCAGUGCUUUCUGGAAUGAGUAUUUUAAACUGCAAGGUUCAAAAUUGUGCUUGAGCUCAGGGUACCAUCCUCAAAUUGAUGGCCAAACAGAAGUUGUCAACAGGUGCUUAGAGACUUAUUUGCUGUGCUUUACUAGUUCUUAACCCAAGAAGUGGCUCCAAUGGCUCAUAUGGGCUGAAUUGAGCUAUAACACCUCCUUUCACAUUGCCUCCAAGUUCACUCCCUUUGAAAUCGUGUAUGGUUUCCCUCCUCCACACAUUUCUUUUUAUGAAAUUGGUACGGAAAAACUGGAGAGUGUGGAACAAGGCAUGAUUGCUCAGGAUAAAAUGUUGAAAAUGCUUAGAACUAACUUGGCCAUCGCGUAGAAUAGGAUGAAGGUGCAAGCAGACAAACACAGGAGUGAGAGAACCUUUGAGGUGGGAGAUUUGGUUUAUUUGAAGCUCAUUCCCUAUCAACUACAAUCACUAGCAACUCAUGCACAUCAUAAACUGCACCCUAAGUUCUAUGGGCCUUUUGAGGUGUUGGAGAAGGUUGGUGAGGUGGCCUACAAGUUAAAGCUUCCUAAGGCCUCCAAGAUACACCCAGUUUUCCAUGUUAGUUGCUUAAAGAAACACAUUGGUCCUGAUGUUAAUCCGGUCUCAUUGUUGCCAUUGGUGACUGAUGAUGGUUUACAGGUCCAAGAACCUAUGGCAGUGCUGCAAAGAAGGAUGUAUAAGAAGAAUAAUGCGGCUGGGGUGCAAUUGCUGAUUCAUUGGAAGGACAAGGAUGUUGAAGAAUCAACUUGGGGAGGACUAUGAUGAAUUCAUUGCAAGAUUUUCAGAUUUUAAGUUUUAGUUGCAACCUUGAGGACAAGGUUUAAGUGAAGGAUGGGGCAAUGUUAUAGCUAUGAUUAUCUUAAUCACAAGCUUAGUUUUUAAAUAAGUAUUUUGGAUUAGUCAUGCCAGCUGGAUUGUAGUGUUUGGGAAACAAUAUAUGUAACCAAUUAAAGCAAAAUACCUGAAGCUCGGUGAGAUUCAAGCUUCGAACUGAAAAAUGAAACAUUCGGCGGUCAACACCCAAUCACUAAUUAACUAAGUGGUGACCUGCUGACCAUGAACACGUGAAUAAAAUUGUAGAGGUUAAUUAUACGGAAUCUUACCGCAAAAAAAAUAAAAAACUAAUUCAAAUUAGGGGUGGGUUCAAAAACGAAAACCGAAAAUCGAACCGAACCGAAAUCGAAAAAACCAAAUCAAAUUGAAAAAAUCGAACCGAACCGAAUUAAUUAAAUUAAUAUAUAUUUAUUUAUUUAAUUAUUUGUUUUGGGUAUUAUUUUUUAAACCCAAUUUGUAAGCCCAAUGUGUUGCCCAAAAUCAGAAAUUCCAAAUGCAACGCUACUUUUCCAUUAACUACAAGGAAGAAGUCGUAUAAAAAAGCAAGACCUAAAAUAGUGAUAACAAAAUGGUGCUAACUCCUGACACAGUACUGUUAGUUCCUUAUUCUUGUUUAAUUUGGCUUCUUGCUUCAAGUAUUUGUAUGCUUAUUCAAUACUUCAUUGCUUAUUGUUAUAUGCAGUGAUCAGGUAUUGGUUUUGAUCAAGUGUUUUCCCAUUUGAUAUUACUUCUUCCGACUAAAUAGUAAAUUACAUUACUAAAUGACCGAUAAUACAUACAAAGAGAGCAUAAUCGAUAUAUGACCCUCGUUGGUUCAAAGUGGGUUAUAGUAUGAUAAUGCUCUCAUUGUACAUACUAUCGUGAUAAAAUAAUCAGCACAUGUUCACCAACAUACACCAGCUCUUUAUAUUAUUCAUGGUUAAGAGUUCAGGUGUGAAGAAAAUGGUAAAAAAUUUUACUUUUCUAAAAAGAAAUCUAUUUACAAUUAAACUUUAAACACAAAAUGUUAAAAAAAACCUUUAUGUUAUAAUUCUAGUUGAACUUUAAAUAUUUAUUUUCAUUUUCUUUGAUUCUAGUUGGAAUAUUUAUGUUAUGAUUAUGUUGGAGAUGUUAAAAUUUAAGACUUCAAUUUUUUUCAUUUUUUGAAAAAAAAAAAAACCGAAACCGAACUGGAAAAAACUACUAAAAAAAAAAAUGAAGAACCAAAAUUUCGGUGAUUUCGGUUUUGGAAAAAAACCAAACCGAUUUGAACCGAACCCAGCCCUAAUUGAAAUUAUGUGUUGCACACAGUGAUAUCGAAGAAGAAUAAUUUCUAUUUAACUGAAAUUAAAUCCGAAUAAAUGAUUCAUAAAAUUACAGAUUUUCAAUCAAAUGCGGAAUAUACACAACAAUUUUAUUUCUGAUUUGAAUAUAACCAACUAAAUCCCAAGUUGUAUCAGUAUCAAUGGAUCCAACAUGGUGACCAUCUGCCCCUCAAGUAUUCAUAUCUGCAAACCCCCGUCUAAAGAAAAAUUCAUCCAGAAAUUAAUCACUGAGUAUGCAAGGUUGGCAUGCAUAUUCACGUUUUAUCGUGGCCAUGAUGAUAGGAAUUAAAAAAAAACACGAAAAUAGGAAUGAUGUACCUUUACUUAGAUUUCAGGGUUCUAAAACCUGUUGCUGAGAUUUGAGAAACAUAGGAAAUGUGUUUCAUGAUUUCAAUUUAGAUUUGCAUAAGAGUUCAGAAACACAUACAUCCCUUCUUUUCAUUCCGCGCCUAGGCUUGCAACACCAAAAUAGCACCAGAUCUUUGCAAUGUGCAGGGAAUAUACUGAAAAAACUUAAACCACAAUCAAUCAUCAUCUAUCUAAACAAAAUCAGAACCCAAACCCCUAAAUAUAUAAUAAUAAUAAUGAUUCUAGUAGAAAUUCCAAUCCAUUACAACAAAACACAGAGCUAAAACAACAAAACACAGAAUACCAGGUAUUGCUGGAUGUAGAUAUCCAAAACAGUGGCACCCAUCUAUUGAUCUAAUUACGUAUCCAUUCCCUAUCCAUGGCAUACAAAGUUUGUACUCCCUGUUUACAUGUUAUAAAAGAUUUAGUAGACCAGCAAUCAAAAUUAACAACCCUAAUUGUUGUAUACGCUAAGCUCUCCAACUGAAAAUGUUUAAUUAAAUUUUCCAACUUAAACCCUAAAUUAAAUCCUACAAAUUGAAAUAGCAGAAACAGAAUUAGAGAGAAGGAAGAAAUCAAUGACCUUCGAGUUGUUGAAAGCUCAGAUAGGUGUUUCUUUUCAUCCAGCCCUAAAAUUAACCCAGCCUGUGUAUAGAAAAAUUGAACAAAUUUAGACAUUUAUAUGUAUGUAUAUUCCAGUAAAAAGAAUGAAAUGCAUUGAACCCUAAAUUGCAAAACUACAUCAGACUGAUUAAAGAAGAGAAACAGAGAGGGAGAGGGAGUGGGACGGAGAGAAAACCCUAAAAACAGAACCCUCUGGCAACCUAAUAAAAAAUCAAGCCAACAAAUUCCAUUCCAAUUUUGACAAAACAAAUCGAAAAAGAAUAAUGAAAACCUGAAUGAAUUACGGAGGAACCGAUGGGUUUAUGCAUAAGCAAUGUGAUAAAACCCAGAAACACAAAACCUAAUAUGUAACAGCUACAAAAACCCAAAUAAAUAAAUAAAACACUCAAAUUUCAAACGAAGAUGUCAUAGAUGGAGGAAGAGAGAAGCGAUGGAGGGGGAGAGAUACUAACUCAACCCUACUAUCUUUCUGCAGCCAACACACUGAUUCCCUCAACCCUACCCCCAAAUCUUGUACCCAAUCAACUCUCUUUCUGUCCCCCUAAUCGUGCACCCGCCGUCACCUUCUCUCUGCAACCAACCCCCUCUCCUCUCUUCCCCAUAUCACACCCCCACCUGUGAGGGCACUGACAGCAGACUACCUCCCUAGAAACCGGCCCUAAAAACCCAUACCCAUACCUCCCUUACUCGUUCCCUUUAACCCUCGCAUAAAAUCCUCCCAUCUCUCUGUCUCUGCAAAUCGCAGAAAACAAACCCUAAACCAAAUCCCUAAAAUCCCACCUCAAUCCUCCCACACUUCUCUUGGACACUCCCUAUCUCUCUCUGCAAUUCGUAAAACAAAUCUCCUAAAUCCUAUCACGGACACCCGCAUCUCUCUACAAAUCGCACAAACAAAACCCCAAACCUAAUCCUUGAAAUCCUACCCAAACCUAAUCCCUGAAACCCUUUCUCUCGGACAUCCCAUACCACAGAAAAUGUAUCUGAACUUUAGUUUAUAAAAUCGCAGGCCGCCUUCUCUCUUCCUACCUAUUAACAAUUCACCAGUAAGAUUAUCUCAAUAAAAACUUAUAUUAGCAAAUCCAGUGAAGAAUGAUGUGAAACUGAAGCUGUAAUGAAAGCUUAUUUUGAGAGAGAAUGAAAAGCCAUCUUUCUACAGCUUGAAACCAAAAUUUAAGUAAAUGGCCUUGUAACUAAGGUUAUUGAACAUGAUUAACUAUCCGCAACCCUCAACCUUGUAACCUGAAUCAAGCUGGUUUCACACAUACCAAUAGAAAACCAAAAUAUCAAUGUUUGGGGAAGUUACCUUAUUUGAAAUACCACUAAAAAACAGAGUAUACGUUUAGGCAAAUAUUGUUUAAA
rnacentral:lncRNA from 1 species